UGUUCACUUGAUUAUUGUUGAAAAGUUAAUAAUAGAGAUGCGGAAGAUUCAUUGAUUAUUAUUGAUUACAGAUAUCAUAAUUGAUUAGUUUUAAGGAGUUAAGUUGAGCUUUUCCUCUCGCAUUUUAUAAAUCAUUCAAGUGAACCGUAAUUGAUGUUAAUCAAGUAAAAUUGAAAUUGAAAGGGUGAAACAAAACACACACACACUGAUUGUAAUCGUCUCAAUUAAUCUGUAUCAACAGGUAACCUGUCAACAAGUGUUAACCUGACAAGAUAAAGUUACAUCGUUUUAGUAUACAAAUGACCUUAAUUUUUAAUUUGUCACUCUCUUAAUUUAGAUGGAAUUCAACUUUCUCUAAAUAUAACAAAAAUAUAGCAAAAGUGGUUGAAGGCGAUAAAUUAAGGCCUAAAAAUUGACCAAAAGUUUUCUGGUCAAUUUGGGUUCAAUUGGUCAUUUGGUAUAAAUUGAAAUUGAAAAGUCGAAAAGUGAUCAUUUUGUUGACUAAAUUGUUCAGUGAAACAUCAGUAGUUUUAUCAUUACAAUCGGAGUAUUAAUUUCAUCUUGACAAAAAGUCCUUUCAGUUUUUAUCAAGUACUUUGAAAAUCUUGUAAACAACUUCAACUUUUGGAUAACAUUUUUUUUCUAGAUUCCAUCUUGAACAUCUCAAUAAUCACAAUUAACAUCAUCAUUAACAUCAUAAUUAACAUUAUAAUCAUCACAAUCAGUUGAACUUAGGCAAUCAAAAUGCAAAGUAAAACAGUUAUCCUGUUGGUAUCGCUAAUUGUGUUGGUUUUUGUAAAUCUGGUUCCAUCUUCAACAAUGCCAAGAAGGAAAAUGAUGAAAUUGAAAAAGCUUGCAGCUUUAGCUUUGAUACUUAAAUCACAGAAGAAAAAAAUGUACGCCAUUCCGAUUCCAAUUCCACUUCCAAUUCCUAUUUAUAAAAAUAAAGUAAUGGGUCAAGCCGAGUUUGUCCAAGAUCAAAUGGUAGUCAAUGGAGCUCAACAUCACCCAAAUCAUCACGGAUUUCAAGCCAAUUCCAUGGCCCACUCGGGUCAUAUGGUUAUUGAACAACAACCUGUUAUUGCACAUCACCAGUUCCAUCAGGUUCCGGUUCAAAUGUCAUUUCCACUGAAUCAUCAUCAUCAUCAUUCUAAUCCUUCAACCGUUCCAUUGCCUGUUGAGUAUCACCAGCAAAAUUGUUAAUCAACUGAUUGUCUUCAUGUCUUCAUGGUGACUCUUAUUUGCUCUUGAUUCGUGUUCAACCCAUUUUAAAUGUUACCUGUAAACAUUAUUAUAUCACUUUUAGCUUCACCAUUCAACUAAUUGUAGUCAAGCACAAUUUAAAUUUUACUCAAAGGAAAAGGUUAACUUUUCCAAUCCUUUACCUCUUUUUACUUGAUAUUAAUGUAACCAAAAAUUGUAUAUUUUUUUAAGUUUAAUCAAAAAUCUCAUUGAAAUAUUUUUUGUCAAGUGAAAAUCAAUAGUCUACUUCAUUUCAUGGCUUUGUUUUUUUGAUAAAUUUUCAGCUGAUAAUUGAAGUGUUUUGAUGAUUCAACAUGAUUAACAUUACAAUUGAUGAAUAAAAAGAUGUGUGUGAGUGUUUGUGUCUGUCUUGACAAACUGAAGAUUUAAAUGUUUGGGGUAAAUGGAUUAUCAGUUAAUUAACUUGCUAUUUAAAUUAGCAAUUAAGAUUACAAGUUGGAGUAAAAUUGGUGAAAUUAAGGUGGAAACUGUUAUCAUUAAAUUGUUGUUUUUGUAGAGACGGUUAAGAGGUUAUGAGUCAAAACAAUAAAAGCCUUUUAAGAUUAAACAUGAGUGAUCAUAGUUUUACAUUUUUUUUGCUUAAAGAUGAUUAGUUUAACUCAAGACUUAUUGCUGUAACUAAUCUUAAUAUUUGAGGAUUGUUUUUAAUCUGAAAGGUCACUGGUCAAGAUUGAUAAUACUUUCAGAUGUUGAGAGGAUUAAAUGAGAAAGAAGAAGAGGAGAAAGAAAAAUGCGACAGUUGAGGGAUUACACGCCCUAUGAAAAUAUAUAUGGAUCAAUGGAAGCGACAAAUGUAAUUUAGAGGAUAAAUAAUGUCCGAGAAAUGCGCAGUUUUACUUUUAGCUUUGCUCAUCUUCAUCACCCUGUUGAGCAAAGCGAAAGAAACUGUCAGAGAAUUGAAUGUUACAUAAAUAUUCGGACUCUAAAUAUACAAAUGUGUGAGCAACUUUGGCCAAUUACUUUUGAACCAGAAAAGGCAAUAUUAACCAAACAGCUUUAAGACCAAUAAACAUCUUAUCUUGUAUGUCUGACAACUGGUAAAAGGUCAUUCUAGCUGGUUUAAUGUUAAUUUGUCUAGUUUUAUUUAACCAAUCAAUAAGCUAUUGCUUUCAAACUGUUCAUUUAUAUUCAAAUGUUUGAUUAAAACUUGAUUUUGUAUGAAAAACAUACAGACAUACAUACAGUAUAUUGGAAAUGUAAUCAACAAGUUAUUUGUUGUGUAAUGGAGAGAGAUGAUGUUAUUACUUUGACCUUAAAAUGUAGUCAAGAAAAAAAAAUUAAACUGUAAAAUAUUCAAUCACAAGUCAAAAUUUAAUAUUUAAAGCUUUUAAAAAUAAAUAUAAAAAAAGAAAAAAUGGAAGGGCAGAUAUUCAUGGUCCUAAUUUGGGUUUCAAUGGGCAAAUAAUACAUGAGACAAAUGAUUUUUUUCUUUUGUGAAAUUUAAAGUUUUGUGAGAAAUUGAAU